rnacentral:tRNA from 1 species
GGAUUGUGGCUCAGUGAUAGAGCGCUUGCCUAGCAUAUGCGAGGCCCUGGGUUCAAUCCUCAGCACCA